rnacentral:rRNA from 1 species
GAUGAACGCUGACCGAAUGCUUAACACAUGCAAGUCUUUGGCGAAUCUGUGCUUGCACCGGCUAGCCAAGGCGGACGGGUGAGUAACGCGUAAAGAACUUGCCCUGCAGACAGGGAUAACAGACGGAAACGACUGAUAACACCUGAUACAGUUGCCGGCACGCAUGUGCCUGGCAAUGAAAAGAGAUGCUGCAGGAGAGCUUUGCGUCCUAUUAGCUUGUUGGUGAGGUGACGGCUCACCAAGGCGAUGAUAGGUAGCCGGCCUGAGAGGGUGAACGGCCACAAGGGGACUGAGAUACGGCCCUUACUCCUACGGGAGGCAGCAGUGGGGAAUAGUGGACAAUGGGGGCAACCCUGAUCCAGCAAUUCUGUGUGCACGAAGAAGGUUUUCGGAUUGUAAAGUGCUUUCAGCAGGGAAGAAGAAAGUGACGGUACCUGCAGAAGAAGCGACGGCUAAAUACGUG